UCCCUGGUGGCUCAGAGGUUAAAGCAUCUACCUUCAAUGCGGGAGACCCGGGUUCGAUCCCUGGGUAGGGAA
rfam:Ovis aries breed Texel chromosome 1, whole genome shotgun sequence.